GUGUGUGUGUGUGUGUGUGUGUGUGUGUGUGUGUGUGUGUGUGUGUAUGCGCUUGCGCGCGCGGGGCGGCAGAUUGGGGGAGGUGGUGUUUGUCACAUGACCCCACGUUAUGUAGACCGGGACUGGGGGCAGUGCCUCUCAGACACCCAGCCCCUGCCCUCCAGGGUGCCAGUCCACUUGGGGAGAAGACAAGGAAAUGUGUAAGGAGAAGAGUUUAGCUAUAUUAUUUAAGUGCAUAGGUGGCCCGCAGGGGAGCGAGGGAGAUCCAUGGGGGAAACCGCAAAUGGAAUCAGUGGGGUGGCUGGGGCCGAGGCUGGGCCUGGGAGAGGAGCUGCGGGCAGGCUUUCCGAAGGGCUCAGAGUUAAUGGGCCGCAGAAGGUGAGAGAGCAGAACUGAAAUCUGCCUGAAAGCAGCGCUCUUGAACGGUCACCUGCACAGUGAAAAGGAAGGACAGGGCUGUAUGAAGAAGUGGGUCCAUCCCAGCAUGGGUCUGAGUGAGCAGGAGAGGAGCCCCUGCCCCCAUCAUCCACAAGCUGGGGCUGCCUCCCCCCUCCCUGCCGCAGACAGAGGGGCUUCAGAGAACCGCAGGCUGAGAGAGACGAUGCCCAGCGCCCCCCAUCGUGGUAGUACUGCUGGGCUCCCCGAAGAGCAGUCGCUCCCUGGAAGGGGACACCUCACCCCCGGCUUCCCCCUCAGGACUCCCAGAGGCCCAGCGGAAGACGGGUCUGCCAGCUCAAAUUGAAGACACCGCCCACCCUCAUGGAGCAUCGGACGGACGACUGGCCCUGUCAACGUCCUGUCCCCAGGGCAUCCCUGUCAGAGGCCAGAUAAUAUAGUUUUCAGUGAGGGCUGCGAGUGCCGGCUCCGUGCCUGGACUCGUCCAUUCCACCCUCGCGGUGGCCCUAGGAAGUUGGGAGCAUGUCAUCCCCAUUCUCCAGAUGAGCAGAUGAGGCCAACGUGACAGAAGGGUUGAGGAGCUUGUUCUGAAUCACUAGCUAGCAGGUGGCCGAGGCGAGGUGUGGAUGAAGGACACUGGCCUCUAAGCCUGACGUCCUUUUGCGGGGAGGCGCUGCAUCUGGAUUGCUCCCUCACAGGGAGGCUCCGGGGCGUGGUGGGUGUGGCAUGUCAGCUUGUCCUGAAGGCAUCAGAGAGCAGUUCUCAUGGGUAUUUACCAGUCGUUUGCAUUACUGUGAUAGAAGGCUACUCCCACUCCCCAAAUCUUCAGCAGCCUCCCAGACACAAAACAAAGAUACCAAGGAAGGAAUCACAGAGGUAAGACUAAUUUUAAAAGCCCAGGCCGAUUUGAAGAAGAAAAAGAACUUUAGGAAUUAAAAACAAAGCCACAGUCAUUGAAAUAAAAAUCUCAACAGAUGAAUCGAACCACAGAUCGGAUGCCACCGAAGAAGGAAGCAGUGCCCUGGAAGAUCGGUGGUGCCUGGGAAAUCGCCUCCUGCCCCUCCUGUCCCGUUCCCCCUCUUAGCGAUGCUGCUGCUUUCUCCUUCCCUGAGAAACUGCCGCAGCCCCUCCUCAGAGAUCCAGCCUCUGUUCUUCAAGGCCCCUUAUCCUGCCUUCUAGGCUUCAGAUGACCUCAACCCCCUCCCUUUUCCCCAGGCUCCGGGGCUGGGGGGCAGCUUCUUCCUGUACCAUCUCUGUUUCUCCAGCCCUCCGAUCCCUGGGUAACCUAGUGGGGCUCGAGGCACCCAUGACCUGCGGGGGCCUCACCACUCAUCAAGCUCUCCCCUGCGGUUGACUGGGAUGAAGGGCCAGUGCAGCAAGUGCCCGGGGGAGCCGCAGCGGCUGCUGCCCUGAACUGUCGUGGAGGGGACGCUGGGGAUCAAGGCUGUGUGUGGGGUGACUCCACAGUGUCCCCGGGAGUGCACGGAGAAAAAACUGACAAGGUCCAAUUCCUUACCUCUCAGCUCAAGGCACAGUAUGCCAGCCAGAGCACUUCCAUGGCAGCCCUAAAAAUUCUCUUCCUCCUGUAACCUGCAGGGCUGACGGUACUGGAAAUCAAACACGACCAACACAAACGAAACCUGCAUCAUUGUGCGGGUUGCAGAAUCCCAAGGUCACCUGAAUUCCCAGCCCCUCCAUGUUUCUCGUGUGAAGGCUACGGCACUGGCUGGAGGAGUGGGACCCUGAAGCCUAGAAUCGGGACAUCGGGUUGCCCUCGGUGGAGGCUGACAGUCGGGAAGCCCCCGGUCCCCUGCAGCCUCCCUUGCGGGUGGAAGUAGCCUGCCCUCCCGUCUCUGGCAGGCUGCUGUUCUCUCCCUUGAGGACUGUGUCAUCACCUCACCUGGCGCAGAUGCCUUGCAAGGGGACACCCUCUGUCCUCCACACCUGUGCCACCACACCCUGUUGCCAUUAGACCCAUAACUGGGGCCUAAUCACAGCAUGAUCCAGGGGGACAGACCAAAGCCUGACCCUAGAGGAAAGAGCUCAUGCCUCAAUACAUAUUUUCCAUAAGGAUAUUAAAAAAAUAUUUUCCAGA